rnacentral:rRNA from 1 species
GUGAGGAAUUUUCCGCAAUGGGCGAAAGCCUGACGGAGCAAUGCCGCGUGAAGGAUGAAGGCCUAUGGGUUGUAAACUUCUUUUCUCAGAAAAGAAUUAUGACGGUAUCUGAGGAAUAAGCAUCGGCUAACUCUGUGCCAGCAGCCGCGGUAAGACAGAGGAUGCAAGCGUUAUCCGGAAUGGUUGGGCGUAAAGCGUCUGUAGGUUGUUUAAAAAGUAUUCUGUCAAAGAUUAGGGCUUAACCCUAGAUAGGCAGAAUAAACUUUUAAGCUAGAGUUUGGUAGAGGCAGAGGGAAUUCCCGGUGGAGCGGUGAAAUGCGUAGAUAUCGGGAGGAACACCAAAGGCGAAGGCACUCUGCUGGGCCAAUACUAACACUGAGAGACGAAAGCGAGGGGAGCAAAUGGGAUUAGAUACCCCGGUAGUCC